AACACAGAGAACGAGAGAUAGAUGGGUGUUUGUUGGUUUGGGUUAAUGAGUCUCCUUGUCCUUUUUGCAACCCCACCCCACCCCCUACCCACCACCCCCUUCCCUUCUUUCUCACCCCUUUAUUUAUCAUCUCUAUCCCCCUUCUCUUCUCACCAUUUUCAUACUCAUUCACUCUGUGAACUACACUCUCUUGAAGAAGAUUGAAGCUAUUUCUUUUGAGGGGAAUGUUGUUUGGCUCGAGGUCAUUAGAAACCAUGGAUCUUUAUCUCUCUCUAUAUAUAUAUGUAUGUAUAUAUAUUGAUGUAUGUAAAUGAUGUUGUCAUGUUGUAAUCAAACCAUCUGAUCAACAGAUCCAUCAUCUAUGGUCUUUGUUGAUCAAUGAGUUUUAGAUUAAUUAUAUAAAGUGUUAAAGAGAGUAUCUUGAUCAUUGGAUCUGGUGUGCUCGGACCAGGCUUCAUUCCCCCCAAUUGAGUCUUCGAUUAAUCUUCACAAACUUGCAAUCUUUCUUUCAUAAGAAAGAUCAGAUCUUUGAGUGUUGUACUUAAAUGGAUUAAUCAAGAUUCAAGAAUGUGCAUGUGUGGAUGGAAAACACAAGGAAGGAAGCAGACAUGGAGAUGCGCAGACACUAGCUGUGUCUUGAAAUGUAAAAGGAGUUGUCAUUUACUAGACCAGUAGUAGCCCUAGUUGAUAGAUGUGAAAAUGAUGCAAACUUUUUCUUUUUUUGUAAACAUGUUUCCUUUAUUAUGAACCCUAGAGUUUGGCAUCACCAGUGUUGUCUUUCUGAUUGAUUUGAUUGGGUUAAUUUGUCCAUAUUUUACUCUAUUCAUCAACAGUUUCUUGAAAAGCUGUUCUUGAUUCCUGAUUUGAUGAUAAAUGUUGUUUACAUUUGAGCUUGGAUGGGGCUCAUGCAUGUUAAUGGCUUUAAAAUUUAAAACUUAACUAUGAUCUUGUAAACCCUAGAUGUAUUUAUUGAUUCAUAAUUGUAUUUUUUUUUUAUGUAAUUCAUGUUCUUCAAAAACAAGAAGUGAAAGAGAGCUGUCAAGUACCCUCAUCUGUGAGUCAGUGUACAGGAGCUUGUAAUGUCAAUGUGUCAUGAAUUCUGAAAUGGGUCUGUCAUCAUUUUUAUAUCAUUUUCUUGUACUAUCAUUUAAAUUUUAAUUUUUUAUACAAGAAUUUGUACAAGUAUUAA